UACAUUCUCGACUGUAAGUCGCUCUGGAUAAGAGCGUCUGCUAAAUGACUAAAA
rfam:Salmo salar isolate Sally breed double haploid chromosome ssa18, whole genome shotgun sequence.